GAGGUGGGUUGUAAUUCCAUUUAUGGGGUGUAAGUCCUCCCCUUUACA
rnacentral:tRNA from 1 species